rnacentral:misc_RNA from 1 species
UACAGAGGUGCGAGCGUUAAUCGGAUUUACCGGGCCUAAAGCGUGCGUAGGCCGCUUUUUAAGGCGGGUGUGAAAUCCCCGGGCUUAACCUGGGAAUUGCAUUCGAUACUGGGAAGCUAGAGUAUGGGAGAGGAUGGUAGAAUUCCAGGUGUAGCGGUGAAAUGCGUAGAGAUCUGGAGGAAUACCGAUGGCGAAGGCAGCCAUCUGGCCUAAUACUGACGCUGAGGUACGAAAGCGUGGGGAGCAAACAGG